rnacentral:lncRNA from 1 species
UCUUUCUUUUUCUCUCUCUUCGACAUUUCAUCAAACACUUUCUCUUCUUCUUCGAAACAAUGACCGAUGUUCUCGCAAACGCGGGUUACAUCGAGAAGUUAUAUGAAUAUGGUGAAAGACUUAAUGAAUCAAAAGACAAAUCUAAGGUUUUAAUUUCUUCUUUCCUUCGUUAAAGGUUUUUUUUUUCUUCUAGGGUUUUGAUUUUGAUUUGGUGUUGUUUGUUGAUGUUGUAGAAUUUAAAAGAUUAUGAAGGAAUAAUAAGAGCAGCAAAAGGAAGUGUGAAAGCAAAACAAUUAGCAGCACAAUUAAUACCUAGAUUUUUAUAAGUUUUUUCCUAGUUUAUCUUUGCAAGCUGUUGAAGCUCAUUUUGAUUUGUGUGAAGAAUAUGAACUCCCGGUUAGUACUUUUUUUUUUUUUUAAAUAAUUGUGAAUUUCUUAUUAGUUUUAUCGUAAUUUGCAAUGUGGUGAUUGAAUAUGUGUGAUUAUAUAAGUUAGAUUUGUAUUAUAUUUGGUUAGUACUACUUUAAACUAGUUUUUUUUUCUUCUUAUUUUUUUUUAAAUAAUUGCGAAUUUUUAUUAGUUUUGUGUUAUUAUUAGUUAUCUUAGUUGCAUGUGGUGAUUGAGUAUGUGAGAUAUAUAUGGUGUUUGGUUUGUAUUAGAAUUUUGUUACACAAUAAAGUAGAAGUUCAACCUCCAUAGGGAUUCAAGGUUUGAGGAGAAAGAGUGGGUUAGUAAAAAAAAAAAAACUUGAGUGGAGAAAGUUUUUUUUUUUUUUUACUUACAAGCUUGAGUGGCUUGUCCUCUACUUUUGUGCAAUUCCUAGAGUAUAUCAAUAAAAUGGAUUUUGUUAAAAAAAAAUGAGUGAAAUUUACUAGUUCUGUGUUAAUUUCAGUUAUCUUAGUUGCAUGUGGCGAUUGAAUAUGUGUGAUUAUAUAAGGUAGAUAGGGAUGCAGGGUUAGUACUUACAGUAGUUUUUUUUUUUUUUUUUUUUUAAUAAUUGUGAAAUUUACUAGUCUUGUGUUACUUUUAGUUAUCUUAGUUGCAUAUGGUGAUUAUGUGAGAUAUAUUUGGUGUGUGUAACUUGAUUUGUAUUAGAAUUUCGCAAUAUGAUAAAAUAGAAGGUAGAUAGGGAUGCAGGGUUUGAGGCGAAAGAGUGAAUUAAUUGGGAUAGGAAGAGGAGAAGGACAACUGAGAUAGAAAAAGAGCAGAAUAUUUGAUGUUUUGAAUGUAAAAAAAUUUCAGUUUGUAAGUAGAUUUGUAUUAUGAUUUUGCUACCACGAUUAAGUAGAAGAUAGAUAAGGGUGUUGGGUUUGAGGAGAAAGAUAGAGUUCAUAGUUUGUACAGAAAUUAAUUGGAAGAGGAGGUGGAGAAGAAACAACUGAGAUAGAAUAAGGUUCGAUUUUAUUGAGGUUUACUGUGAAGAACAAAAGAUUGAGUUCAUUAGCUGUUUAUAGGGAUUUAAACUUAAGAGAGAAGAUUUACAAGCAAAGAGAAAGUGAAAUGGAGUGACAUGGCAGUCUUAACACUUAGCCAACGGUCAUUAGCUGUUUAUAGGAGACUCUAUAUUUCAGAGUUUGCUAUAAAUUCUGAAAUUAAUUGGGAUGCAGUGUUUGAGAAGAAAGAGUGAGUUAAUAGUGUGUGCAGAAAGUAAUUGGGCUAGGAGGAGUACACGAAGGACAACUGAGAUAGAAAAAGAUUUGAUUUUAUUGUUAUUAGUGUACUGCAAAGAGCGAAUGAUUGUUGAGGAGGAUUUGGAGAGAAGUAACGUAGAAAGAAAAAAAAGAGAGGAGGUAGAAGAGAUGAUUUACAACCAAAGAGAAAGUCGAAUGGAGUGGCGUGGCAGUUUUACUCUCUUAUCCAAGUCUCAUUAGUUGUUUAUAGGGAUUUAAGACUUCAUAUUUUAGAGUUAGCAAUGAGAGGCUUUCCUUGUUGUAUACACAUCAAAGAAUGAGUUCGUCUUGGUCUAUGGAGUUCAUUAUUUUUAUGAGAUAUUGUACAGAUCCAAGAGGAAAUGUGUACUGUAUUUUUACGGCAUUAUUCAUAUAUAGCACCUUAAUAAGUGGUACUUGUGAUCUUAAAUUUUAUGUUUAGUAAAUAAGGAUUAGCAACUUUAAGUGAUUCAAACAAUGAGCAAGAAAGAGUUACCCUUUACAUAUGGUACAUGAGUGUGGUUGGCACUUGGCCCAAUGACUGAGUCUCUUUAACAUGUGCCUGAUAGAUUUGCUUCUGUGGUAAAAUUUGACUCGCCAAUCCAUGAGCCCUCUCUCUUAUAUUUUCUCAUAAAUUAUGGCUGUGAGAGUAUUUGUAAGAAUAGAAAGGUUUUCUUUGAAGGAAAAAGUGCAACCUAGAAGGCUAGAUGGAAUAUACUUUAGCUUUUGGCGAUUAGCAUAAAGGUCAUGCUUUAGUUUAAUCUUUCAGGUUUCUUAAAUUUUUAAGGAUUUCCUUGUCAAUGAUUCUGUAUUUUAUCUAGUCGUGUGUUUUGGUGAAAUGGGUGUAGCAUGUCGGUGUUGUUCUGUGCUUCCAGCAAGAUUCAGUAUUCCUUCAUACUUUAACUUGUGUAUUGUUUCAUUUACACACAAUGAAUGAAAUGAAAAAAAAAUUCAAUAUAAAAUAAAAAAAUUAUUUUAACGACUGUGUUACAUACUAACAUUAUAAUAAAUGCACUAAUGAUCUUGAGUCCUGAUAGUUUCUUAUUUCAAUUGUUAUGCUUGCAGAUACAGACAAAGCAUGGGAAAGAAUAGAUUUCUUGUUGUGUGUGUGGUUGAUGAUGGGAUGCGCAGGGAAAGGAGUGGGAAAGAGAGAUGGAGGAUAAUCCUGCUCACCAAAAGCUCUUUAGACUUGUAACUAUGCUUCAUGACCUUGUUGUGAUCUCUGAAAAUUGUAAUUAGUAGCUGUCACCAUGAGGAUCAUUUUUUUAUAUGAAAGACUUGUGCUCUCCAAUCAUCUUGGAAGACAAUUUGUUUGUCUGACUAGAUGCUGGCAAGUAGUUGGAGAUUGUGUGUCAUCAAACAGGCACUUUUUGUUAAGUAAAACUGGAGGAGACUGACUGCUUCAUAUUCAUUCUACAUAUUAAUGCAAAGAAAAACUUAUUAUGUUUUUUUAGGGCUAUAAUGAGGACAUAUAACAGAAGCAUGACCAUAAG